UACGAAGGGGGCUAGCGUUGUUCGGAAUUACUGGGCAUAAAGGGUGCGUAGGCGGGUCUUUAAGUCAGGGGUGAAAUCCUGGAGCUCAACUCCAGAACUGCCUUUGAUACUGAAGAUCUUGAGUCCGGGAGAGGUGAGUGGAACUGCGAGUGUAGAGGUGAAAUUCGUAGAUAUUCGCAAGAACACCAGUGGCGAAGGCGGCUCACUGGCCCGGUACUGACGCUGAGGCACGAAGCGUGGGAGCAAACAGG
rnacentral:rRNA from 1 species